AGUGGCGAACGGGUGAGUAACACGUGGGUAACCUGCCCAUCAGAAGGGGAUAACACUUGGAAACAGGUGCUAAUACCGUAUAACAAUCGAAACCGCAUGGUUUUGAUUUGAAAGGCGCUUUCGGGUGUCGCUGAUGGAUGGACCCGCGGUGCAUUAGCUAGUUGGUGAGGUAACGGCUCACCAAGGCCACGAUGCAUAGCCGACCUGAGAGGGUGAUCGGCCACAUUGGGACUGAGACACGGCCCAAACUCCUACGGGAGGCAGCAGUAGGGAAUCUUCGGCAAUGGACGAAAGUCUGACCGAGCAACGCCGCGUGAGUGAAGAAGGUUUUCGGAUCGUAAAACUCUGUUGUUAGAGAAGAACAAGGAUGAGAGUAACUGUUCAUCCCUUGACGGUAUCUAACCAGAAAGCCACGGCUAACUACGUGCCAGCAGCCGCGGUAAUACGUAGGUGGCAAGCGUUGUCCGGAUUUAUUGGGCGUAAAGCGAGCGCAGGCGGUUUCUUAAGUCUGAUGUGAAAGCCCCCGGCUCAACCGGGGAGGGUCAUUGGAAACUGGGAGACUUGAGUGCAGAAGAGGAGAGUGGAAUUCCAUGUGUAGCGGUGAAAUGCGUAGAUAUAUGGAGGAACACCAGUGGCGAAGGCGGCUCUCUGGUCUGUAACUGACGCUGAGGCUCGAAAGCGUGGGGAGCAAACAGGAUUAGAUACCCUGGUAGUCCACGCCGUA
rnacentral:rRNA from 1 species